rnacentral:rRNA from 1 species
UGCAGUCGAGCGGUAAGGCCUUUCGGGGUACACGAGCGGCGAACGGGUGAGUAACACGUGAGCAAUCUGCCCUUCUCUUUGGAAUAACCAUUGGAAACGAUGGCUAAUGCCGAAUAUGACCUCCUUUCGCAUGUUUGGAGGUGGAAAGCUCCGGCGGAGAAGGAUGAGCUCGCGGCCUAUCAGCUUGUUGGUGAGGUAAUGGCUCACCAAGGCAUUGACGGGUAGCCGGCCUGAGAGGGUGACCGGCCACACUGGGACUGAGACACGGCCCAGACUCCUACGGGAGGCAGCAGUGGGGAAUAUUGGACAAUGGGCGAAAGCCUGAUCCAGCAACGCCGCGUGAGGGAUGACGGCCUUCGGGUUGUAAACCUCUUUCAGCAGGGACGAAGCGAGAGUGACGGUACCUGCAGAAGAAGGACCGGCCAACUACGUGCCAGCAGCCGCGGUAAUACGUAGGGUCCGAGCGUUGUCCGGAAUUAUUGGGCGUAAAGGGCUCGUAGGCGGUUUGUCGCGUCGGGAGUGAAAACUCAGGGCUCAACCCUGAGCGUGCUUCCGAUACGGGCAGACUAGAGGUAUGCAGGGGAGAACGGAAUUCCUGGUGUAGCGGUGGAAUGCGCAGAUAUCAGGAGGAACACCGGUGGCGAAGGCGGUUCUCUGGGCAUUACCUGACGCUGAGGAGCGAAAGCAUGGGGAGCGAACAGGAUUAGAUACCCUGGUAGUCCAUGCCGUAAACGUUGGGCGCUAGGUGUGGGGACCUUCCACGGUCUCCGUGCCGCAGCUAACGCAUUAAGCGCCCCGCCUGGGGGAGUACGGGCCGCAAGGCUAAAACUCAAAAGGAAUUGACGGGGGGCCCGCACAAACGGGCGGAGCAUGGUUGAUUAAUUCCGAUGCAACGCCGAAGAACCUUUACCUUGGGUUUUGACAUAAUACCCGGAAAAGCUUGCAAAAGAUGUGGGCCCCCUUUUUGGUCCGGUAUACAAGGUGGGUGCAUGGGCUUGCCGUCAAGCUCCGUGGCCGUGGAGAUGGUUGGGGUUAAAGUCCCCGCAACCGAGCGGCAACCCCUCGGUUCUAUUGUUUGCCAGGCACCGUUAUUGGGUGGGGGACUCCAUAAGGAAGACUGGCCGGGGGUCAACUUCCGGAGAGAAAGGUGGGG